CCUUGCACAGUGUCGUCUUCAAGCUCCCGUCUCUCUCCCGUCCCGUGUCCGUGCCCUGCAGCCGCCGCCUCCUCCAUCAAAUCCGUUGCUCCCCUUCCAUGAUCGCAAAAACGGAUUCCCUACGAUCUCCUCUAUCUUAUCCAAAAAAACCCCCCUAAAUCGCGUGGAAUCGACGCGGUUUCGAGCUGCUAUUUUCCGGUGAACCCUAAGCUAAACCGCCUCCGAUUCCCCUCAAAUCCGCACCGAUCUCUCCCCUCCUCCGAUUCUCUUUCCCCUCCUUUGCUCGAGCUCCCGUGCCCUAGCCGCCGCCUCUCCCCGCGCUAGCCAUUUCUCUCUUGCCGCCGGCGGUCGCUCCUGCCGCCCCUAGCCGCCGCCUCGGCCGACGUACUCCUGCGGCGCCACCUCCCACGGCUCCGCAAGGCCGAGCUCUACCUCGUCCACCCGUUCUUUUGCGCCGGAAGCCGCCGUCACCGUGAAGGCCGAGCCGUCGCCGUGUUUUGAUCUCCGGCGAAGCCUUGCCGCCCCUCCCGUCGUCGCCAGGCUUUGCCGUCUCCUCCGUUGGCUUCGCGAGGACCCGUAGAAGGCCGUUCACCUUUUCUCCUCCGCCGGAGUCCGCCGGAACACCGCCGUCGCCGUCGUCCCGAUCUCGCCGCCGCUCGAAGCUCGUCGCCGGCCAUCUCCCGUUGACGUUCGUCGUCGUGCCGCCCCUCGGUGAGCUCUCCUCAUCGUGCUCUUUCUUCCGGUGCCCUCGGUUUGCGCUGCCGUGCCCUAGAUCGCCGGCGAUUAGCCACUCGUCGGUGAUGACGUCAGCGCUUGUUUUCCUUUUCUAAAAUAAAUAGUAAACCCAUUUCUGUACAAGGCUAAAAUCAGAUUAAUCUUGUAAAAUUCAUAACUAAAUCAUAUGAAGUCGGAAUGAGGCCGUUCAAGUCUCUAAAUUCAUCUAAAAUCAUUAUCUACAUGUUUGUUUACUUUUUAUGUACCGUUUAUUUGGAGUUUCUUAGUUUUUUCCUCAUUUUGCGUGUUAGUUGUUGUUUUCGUCGUUUUGGAGGUUUGUGAGUGCGUCGGAAGUGGUUCAGAAGACUAAUUGAAGACCGACUAUUGCAAGUCAAGUCACACAGAUCCCAAACACAAUUCCUUUGAGCAUAUUGAAAUUACACCUACCAGUAGAAGAAUUUGGUUGCCCUUAAGAUUGACCUUAUCAUGUUGGAAACUGACGAUAGACCUCUUGAGAUGGUUUAGGGUUAAGCUAGCCCAGUUGGUUCUCUUUAUAUCUGGUAUAUUUAUGAGUAGAUUUACGUAAUCUGAAUGGACUAAUCUCUCAGUUGUAGGACAUAGGAUCAGUAUAUAGCACAAACUGCCUUUUAAAGUGAUCGUCACAAGAUUUGUUAAAUUCAAGAAUCCCGCAAGGCUGACAGAGUUAUCUUAGUCCCCAUUUUGUCUUUAUAUAAUGCAAACAGAGCGGCCUUUGUUGCCUGUAGAGCUUUGUUUUUAUCUUUGUCCUUCGGGGCAUCAACGUCAGCUUGGAUUGCUUGUGAGACUUCAACCAGUUCAACACCUUUUGAUGGCACGCCGAGUAUGUGAUCCACAUCUUCAAUGGUUAUCUCCAGCAUGGUUCCAUUUAUAUUGAAAGCUCUAGUCUACUCAUCAUCCUGCCUAGCAAUUUGUUUGAAUAAAAGCCGGUGAAUCUGGACUCCAUUCAUUUUUGUUAAGCCCCCAAAACCUAGAUAGCGAUCAUUAAGUCGAAAGAAUAGUUGCUUACUGGUUUGUUGGCUCGAAUAUUAUUCUUAGUCAUUCUCGGUGGCGGCUCACAGUUGGGUAUCAUCGAGGAUUAUAUUCUGUGAUGCGUUUGGAAUAAUUAAAUCAUUUAAAAACAUUUAAACAGUAAUGCAUGCGUUAAUACAAUGGUAAUUAAGAGAUGAAGUGUGACGGUUGCUGAUGAGCCAUUACUUCAGCAACUACGAAAAUUCAAAAUCUAAAAUAAGACUAGGUGUUUACUUUUUAUCUACGAAAAUUCAAAAGCUUAGAACAGGGAUUGGUCUGGAGAAUUAAUUCGGUCGUAUAUUAACAGUGGUUUAAUUUCUAGUUUGUUGAGUACAACACGCCACGAAUUGUAAAUAAUUACAGCCACAGCAACCAUCUACCUCGUGUAAUUUGUGUGAAUGUAAUUAGCAUAAAUAAAUAACUAGGUGAUGUUUCCUGGACACUUCCUGUGGUGUAUAUAUAUAUAUAUGUAGUACAUCGUCAUUUAACUUGAUCCAUUUCCAUGCACGCGAAUGACACACAAUUCCGUCCAACCAUGUGAUUAACUUCCUGUGGUUGGACGAACUUGUGUCAUUCGCGUCCUGGAAAUGGAUCAAGUUAAGUGACGAUGUACUACAUAUAUAUACACCACAUGAAGUGUCCAGGAAACAUCACCUAAUUAUUUAGGUAUGCUAAUUACAUUCACACAAAUUACACGAGGUAGAUGAUUGCUGUGGCUGUAAUUCGUGUUGUACACAACAAACUAGAAAUUAAACCACUCUUAAUAUACGACCGAAUUAAUUCUCUGGACCAGUCCCAGUCCCGGUUCUACGCUUUUGAAUUUUCGUAGUUAGAAAGUAAACCCCUGGUCUCAUUUUAGAGUUUGAAUUUUCGUAGUUGCUGAAGUAAUGGCUCAUCAGCAAGCACCACACUUCAUCUCUUAAUUUCCAUUGUAUUAACGCAUGCAUUACUGUUUAAAUUUUUUUAAAUGAUUUAAUUAUUCCAAUCGCAUCACAGAAUAUAAUCCUCGAUGAUAUGCCCAACUAUGAGCCACCACCGAGAAUGACUAUGAAUAAUAUUCGAGCCAACAAACCGGUAAGCAAGUAUUCUUUUGACUUUACGAUCACUCUCUAUGCAAUAAUGAACUAAAUUGUGAUGUUUAUUAUCGCAGGGAACGCAAGUAUGUUCACAAGUAGCCUACUAGAAAUUCAUACAGACUCUAGACAAAGAACAGAUGCAAGCCAUAGAUGAUCUAGGUUUUGCCGGCUUAACAAAAAUGAAUGGAGUCCAGAUUCGCCAACUUUUAUGCAAGCAAAUUGCUAGGCAUGAUGAUGAGCAGUCUAGAGCUUUCAAUAUAAAUGGAAUCAUGCUAGAGACAAACCAUUGAAGAUGUGGAUCACAUGCUCAGCGUGCCAUCAAAAGGUGUUGAACUGGUUGAAGUCCCACAAGCAAUCCAAGUUGACAUUGAUGCCCCAAAGGACAGAUAAAAACGAAGCUCUACAGGCAACAAAGGCCGCUAUGUUUGCAUUAUAUAAAGACAAAAGGGGGACUAAGAUAACUCUGUCAGCCUUGCGGGAUUCAUUGAAUUUGAACAGAUCUUCUGAUGAUCACUUUAAAAGGCAGUUUGUGCUAUAUACUGAUCCUAUGUCCUACAACUGAGAGAUUCGUCCAUUCAAAUUACCUAAAUCUACUCAUAAAUAUACUAGAUAUAAAGAGAACCAACUAGGCUAGCUUAACCCUAAACUAUCUCAAGAGGUCUAUCGUCAGUUUCCAACAUGAUAAGGUCAAUCUUAAGAGCAACCAAAUUCUUCUACGUGUAAUUUUAAUUCCAGAUAUGGUUUAAGUUUGUAUGAUGUGACUACAUAUUUUUUUUAAAAAAAUUCUUGCAGCUUUGGUACUGGGAGAAGUUUCGAGUGAGUCAUAUAGAUCCUUCCACCGCACGUGUCAGACCACUGAUACAAUACUGGGAUGAGAAGAAGGCUAGAAAGCGUGAAAAAAUCAUGUAUGGAGUAAUUCGUGUCCUAGCACCGGGAAACAGGCACGAAACUGUCAUUAGUGGUCUUCAUGUGGUCUCUUCAUGCUGAAGUGUAUGGAACACUGGAAUGGAUCAAAGUUAACCACAAAAUUUAAGCAGAUCUUCAAACGCAAGUUAGCGGCCAUUUUGGUUGGCUCCGCAUCGAAUGAUAACACUGAAAUCCCAACAUACAAGAAAUAGGCAGGUGGCGACAAGGGUGUUUGGCCGGGAGAAUAAUAACAACAGGAUUUACAAAUAACUGCAUCUAAAUAUUUCAGACAUAUUCUUAUUUUUCUAAUUUAAACAAAUUAUGGAUAUUAGUAUAUUCACUGUACUUGGCUCAAUUUUGAUUAAUAUUUUGGUGUGUUGGAGAAAAUAUUAGUUAGGUGACAAUUAGUAUUCACGGCUUGUAUGUAUUGAUGACAAGAACGUGCUUAACUCCUGCACUAUAUUACUGUUCAAUGUUCAGAAUCACGAUGAGUGAUCUCAGGAUAUUAUGUUUUCAGGCUACAUUGUUGAGUAGAAUGUACCGUAAAAGUCUUCUUCUAGUAUUAGGGGAUUUGAUGGAAGUAGAGAUAGAGAACUCGAGAAGUUUGGGUGUAGGGUUUGAUACUCAAAAGCCACGUUUAUACAAAACAAGCCUAAUGGACCUUGGCCUGCUUCCUGUCAAAAAUUUUGUCAAUUUGACCCUUUACAAAAAGUAAUUUCGCAGAUGAACCGUGGCAAAAACUUAUUUCAAAAAUAAACCGGUGGCUCAGCGCCAAAUAACCUGGCGCUGAACUUGCACAGGUCGGUGCCAGGUCAACUGGCGCGGAAUGCCUUGCCACCGUGGAUUCGAGGCUGACUCGGUGAUUCGACGUGUCAAAGGUCAGUGCCACUCGACUCGCCGCUGAGGUGCCAGGAUUCAGCGCCAGGCGGUUUGGCGCUGACCUUCGAGUCUUUUAGGCCCACACGCCCCGGCCAAGAGAGGCAACCUCUCUCAUUUCUCUUCCUCUUGCGACGCACACAGCGACAAUGACAGCGCCUAUCCCCUGCAAGCCCUAAUACUCCUCGAUUCCUUGGGGAAUCAAGGGGAUUGGGAGGGGAUUAGUGGUGGAUAUUGUGGUGUAAGGUAAUGCCCUCGAAACCAUCCAAAACUUUUUGCAUUUUGUGAUUUGGUUUGGUGAAGAAAGAGGGUUUGAAAGGAUGAGGGUUGAAUUGAUUUAUCGGUUAAUUGAGUGGGAGAGGGUAAUUUAGAGGGGAAUAGGAUUGAUUGGUAAUGAAGCCUAGUUGGAAUGAGGGAUUUGGUAGGUUGCAAUGGGUGGUUUGGUUAGGGUUUUGGUUAGAAGUUUUGGUUAGGGUUUGGUAAGGGUUGUUGUUAAGAUUGACAUGUAGUUCAUAGAGAAUGGAAUGAAUGUGAUGUACGGCUAAGACUUGUUCUCUAGUUAACUACUGCUACAUGGUUUGCUUUGUUCUGACUUUUACAUCGCAACAUUGCUUUGGUUGCACACUGGUUAUGAACUGAAUGAUUGAUUACUUAAUGUUGUGUUCACUUCAACUCCAAAUUUGUCUGAAAGAAAUAAGUUUUAUCCUAUUAUGCACAGCUCAACGCCAAAUAACCUGGCACGGACAGUGCCGACUUCAGCACCAACAUAUUUGGCACUGAGCUCUGGCACUACACCAAGCCAUACCUAACUGCUUGACUAAGUUAGCCAGUACAGCGCCAAACAACUCGGCGCUGACCUUAGCCAUCUCAGCGCCGAGUCAGGUGGCGCUGAGCUUUGUCACGUUGGCACGCCGAGUCGGCCUCCCAUCCACGGUGGCACGACAUUCAGCAUCGGCGCAGAGGCGAAUGGCGCACGCAACUCCUCGCGCCCUUGCAUGUCGGCCAGUCGCUCAUCUGAUGCAGAGUGUCUUCGCGCUCUCUGCGGCUCAGCGUCCUGCCCGGAGAAAACCGCGGGGCUGGGGGGUUU